GUAAGGAAUAUUGGGCAAUGGACGAAAGUCUGACCCAGCCAUGCCGCGUGGAGGAUGAAGGUCCUCUGGAUUGUAAACUUCUUUUUUCUGGGGCGAAAACCGGUCAUUCCUGACCAUUUGACAGUACCAGAAGAAUAAGCACCGGCUAACUCCGUGCCAGCAGCCGCGGUAAUACGGAGGGUGCAAGCGUUAUCCGGAUUCACUGGGUUUAAAGGGUGCGUAGGUGGGCAGGUAAGUCAGUGGUGAAAUCCCCGAGCUUAACUUGGGAACUGCCGUUGAUACUAUCUGUCUUGAAUAUCGUGGAGGUAAGCGGAAUAUGUCAUGUAGCGGUGAAAUGCUUAGAGAUGACAUAGAACACCAAUUGCGAAGGCAGCUUGCUACACGGUAAUUGACACUGAGGCACGAAAGCGUGGGGAGCAAACAGGAUUAGAUACCCCAGUAGUCC
rnacentral:rRNA from 1 species